UUUCAGAAAUGAUGCACUCUGGUUACUCUAGCUAAGACAGACAAUUGGUUCAAUGGAUAUCCACAUCUGAGAAAUCAAGAAUGGAUAACACUAUAAAUACUUUAUCGAUAACAGAUAAUGCAAAAUUUCUUUUAAUGACUCAGGUUAUGGGUUUGGAUUCAAAAGCUAUUACAUAUUUAAUAGUGGAAAAAUAGAGAAAAGCAAAUGAAACUGAACAAAAAUUGCAAAUGAUGCACCAUCAUGCCAAUUGGUUGUUAGAUUUUGAUUGAGAUAUGCAAAAACAUACCGAACUUGAAACCAAUUUCACUCUUUUUAUAAAAGUUACUACAGCAAGAUGAAAAAUGAAAAGAGUUCUACCAGAAACUUUGGGGGCAGACAUCACAGGUGCUGAGCCCGCCAAUCAACAGCAAAGAUCUCUUCACUAUCAUCAUCACUGGAUAACUCUUCUUUUAUAGGUUCUUUGCGAGCAACCUCAGAACUACCUCUGCUUUUCGCUGACCUGGAAGC
rnacentral:lncRNA from 1 species